CUAAUAGUGAUAUUGCUGGAUCAAAAGGAUAUGCUCAGAUAUAUCAGCCCUUUAGUUCCCUACUGUGCUUCCAAUUCCAGGGGCCACAAGCUUGAUGCUCUUCUUUCUCCAAGAUACUUGCUUUGCUAAAUAAUUCUCCUCUUAGCUACAGCCAAGAUUCUGGAACUCUCAGGUGUCAUGUGUUGGACAUGUGAUCUCUUUGAUGUGAUGUGAUCUCCACAAGUGGGUCCAGGUCACGGUACCAUGGCAUCCCUGAUAUCAUGGCGGUCUUCAGAAACAAAGAGCAAACAACAACAGAAAUGCAAGUGUGAAGCUGAAGAUGGAGAUUGCAAUUUUCCAACAAUAACUAGGACUUAAAUGGUGCUUUAAGGUUUGCCAAGUACUUGACAAAUUGGAUCUCAUUUUAACCUUACAACAAUCUUGGGUGAUGGGUGCUUUGAUUACCCCCAUUUUAUAAGUGAGGAAACUGAGGCAAACAGGGGUUGCGAUUUACUCAAGGUUCCCCAGCUAGUAAAUGUCUGAGGCCAGAUUGUAGUUCAGACCUUCCUGACUCCAGCUCCUAUGUUCUAGCCACUGCCCCACCUUAGUGAUCAUCAUCUUCAUAAAGAUCAUAAUAAUUAGAGCUGAAAGGGACCUUAGGGGACAUCUGGUCCAAUCCCUGUGUUUUACAGGUGAGGAAACUGAGACCUGAAAACUUCAGGGACUUGUCUAGGCAAUGAGCAGCCUAAGUGAGCCGUGACCCCAUAUCCUCCAGCUCUAAAUCUGGAUCCUUUCCUUUACAAAGAGACGUUUUUAACUUGGAAUACACGAAUAGAGUUCAAGGAAAGGGGUUCUGUGAAUUUGGAGCAAAAAAGGAGACUUUUUAUUUUCACAAACCUUAAAUUUAACAUUUCCUUUGAUUGUAGUGUAGACAAAAGACAUUUCUGUGAGGAGUUGAUAGCCUUCACCAGACAAACAUAAAGCAUUUCUUUAGCCAUGAUACUUCAUUACAGAUCUAGGGGACCUGACCUUAGCACUGACCAAGAAGACAACUUUGAAGACCUUGCUUGUUUUAUUCCCAAAGGGGAAGGCUACUGAGAUUGAGAUAACCAUUUCUAUGGCAGUCAUAGGAGAUAUUAGUUUUAUCCAUUACAACUGCACCCUAGAACCUCAGGCCAGUGAAAAGUGCUAAGGCUAGAAAUAUGAGCAGGUUCUCCUCACCAACUUUGUGGUCCUGAGCCCCAAAGAUAGAAUCAAAAAUGUGAUAGAAGCCCAGGGACAACAUAGUUCCUGCAGGUUUCCCAUUACAGAAAAUGGCAAAAUGGGCAGCUAUUUAGUGCAUGUCAUCUUCUCUUAAGACAAAGACUUUCUCAAGGAGGAGAAGACAUAAUUUUUUCUUGGGACAUUGACAUCAUAAAAAGGAGGAAGAUAAUCCUUUUUUUUUAUUAUUUUGGUGAGGUCAUGACAAAUGAGGAGCAUCCCUACUGCAGGGAUCUCAGUAAAAGAAGUAAAUGAAAUCCCACAGGGAAGAAAAAACAAGUUAGCUGCCUACUGUUAAUAAGAAUGAUGAACUAGUGACCAUCUUGGUUUGCCUGGACCUGAAGAAGAAUCAGCUAUGAACAGGGAAGGACAUUCACUAAGUAGUUGCUAUGUGGGGCAGCCAUUGAAACCCAUGAGGAUGACAUAGGUUGGUAUCAAUGUGGUUGUCCUAGACUCUCCCCAAGCAUACCCUAUCUUCCAAGUGAAUAUGAUAUCAAGGACAUCAAAGAGAAAUCCCCCCAUCUAGGUUAUUCAUGGCAGCUGUACAAGAGAAAGACCUAAUAAUGGAGAUAAUCAAUCCUAUAGGUCAUCAUGGGCCAAACCUCCUCUCUCCCCUGAUCGAUCUGAAUCACUCAGGAGUGUUUUCACAUGGGAAGUGACACUUGUAUUAAGGUCAGAAUACACGUGGUAUUUUGGUGUUCGAGUCAUCACUGAUGAUUGCACUGAAAAAGCCUUGAAAAGAUGGAUUUUCUCCUGGGGGCCACUACUGAGGCCGUAUGUAGGUGAGAUUCAAUGAUAGAGAAAGCAUUCAAGUAGUUUUUACUGGAACUGCACUGAAAAGGAUAAUAUCAGAGUGACUCAAAGUAUACCUGGGACUUUGAAAGACAAAAGAUUCACCCACAAGUAGAUUCCCAGUCCACAAGUUGAUUUCCAGUUGGACUGUGGGCAUCCAAGGCUCUAGCUGAGAUGCAGAUGUCAGACACAGAUACACAAGUCAGACCCAUGGUGCACUUGGGGGGGCUGAAAUGUGGGAAGAUGACGUGCUUUGCCCAAUGGAAGGAAAUAUCCAUGGAUAUCCCUCAUAUGAUCAGUUCUUCUGAGAAGUGACCCUGGUAUUUUUCCCCUUUAAUAAAAAAAAAAACUGUGUGGCUUUUCUAGAAUCUAGAAUUGACAAAAUCCACUGCAAAGAUCUGAGAAGAGCAGGAGUGAAGACCUGUUCAAGAAAUAUGGCAGUAUAAGAAAGAAGACACAUGAGCUGGAAUUUGAAGAAGUAGUAGGGUUGAAGAAAGACUCAGUUGUUUAUUUCUUAAGAAGUGAGACAUUUGUAGGCAAAGAAGAAACCCUCGGUAGAGAGGCAAAGAUUAAAGAUGCAAGGGAGAAAAGGUUCACCAAUGAUGCACUUUCUAUUUGAUUUUUAAGUUUACAAAUCUUUUUUAUACAGUAUCUCCUUUGAGGGUCACAUAACACUGUGAGGUAGGACUUCAUUAAUUGCUAUUAUUCCCUUUUUUUCAGAUAAGGAGACCAGUUGCUCAAUAAACAUUUAUUAAACUUAGUGUGGAAGGUGCUAGGAUUACAGAAUCCUAAAGGAUGAAUUAAUCUCUACCCUCAAAGAGUUUACAUUCUAUAGUGGUUAAAUAAUUUGCUCAGGGUUACACAGACACUAAAGACCAGAUUUAGGAUCCAACCCAAAUCUUCCUGACCCCAAGCACAGAGCCCUAUGCACGAUGUCAUGUUGAUACAAUAAGACCCCGGAAGAGGUGAUGAGGAAGAAGAAUAAUCAGACUAAGUGGGCUAACUUUGGUCAGAAGGAAAGCUACCUCUUCCUAUGAGAUAGGAGAGAACAGAGGAGAACUCUGGGAGAUUAUGAGGUAAGGCUAGGGGAAGUCCAGGGAAUUCCUGUUGGAUGCUCUCCACCUUGUUAAAAUAGGAAGCAAGGUGAUCAUCCAAGAGAGCAGGAAGCAAGCUGAGACUGUAAGAAGAAAUGAGAAGACUAGAAAUCAAAGGAUUAUCAACCAACAGUAAGGGUUCAGCUGAGAAAUUAAGCAGUAAACUUCUAUCCUAUGUUGGGAGAAGACAUAUUUUUCCCAACUAAAGAGAAUUGUUUUCCAUGUACUGCUUGUGAAAACCUGAUUCCUGAUCUAGAGGACAGAUGACAAAUAAUUUAAAAAGAUUCAUACUUUUAUGUUAUAAAUGAUGAAAGGAAAACUGGUCACCAGCACUGGGGAUUUCCCUAGGAGAAAACUUCCUUCUACCAGUACAGGUUGCCGCCGCCUUCUCCUCAAACUUAAAAUCUUAGAGAAUUGCCUAAAGUGGUAAGAUCACAGCAUGUGUGGAAGGCAAGACUUGAAUUCAGAUCUUUCUGACUUUAAAGGCAGCUUUCUGCCUUCAAUGUCAUCCUGCUUCUCCUAUACAUCUAUACAUAGUAUAUAUGGAUUACAAAUGUAAGAUAUAUUUCAUUGAUUCAUUGUCUAAAUACAAAAAGAUCAAAAAAUGAGCAAAAGGACUGAUAUUCAUAAAAAUAUAUAGUCAUAGCAGCUCUUUUUGUAGUAUCAAAGGACAGGAAAUUAAGGACUGGGGAAUAGUUGAAUAAAUGAGGGUAUAUGAAUGUAAUGAAUUAUUAUUAUCCUGUCAGAAAUGAUAGGGAUUAGUUUGGAGACACCUGGGAAGACUUGUAUAAAACAAUGCAGAAGGAAGUGAAUAGAAACAGGAGAGCAAUUUAUUUAAUAACAGCAUUUGAAAGACUUAAGAAUUCUAAUUGAUGAAGUGACCAUCUACAAUUCCAGAGAGAACCUGGCAGAAAGGGAAGAGAUGCAAGACACAGAAUGAGAUGUACAAUUUUUGGACAUAGUCAAUAAGGGAAUUGUUUUGAUUGAUUAUUCAUUUAUCUACAAUGAUUUUCUUUUUCUUUUUUCAAUUUGUGAGGAUGAAAGAGAAGGAUAAGAGAGAUGAAUAAAAAUUAUUAAAUGAAAUAAAAUGAAAUUUCCAAAAACUCUGUAGCUGAGAGAUGUGAAAUCAUUUGUCCAGAGACACAUAACUAGUGUCUAAGAAAUAAUUUAGAUUCAGGUCAUCCUGCCUCCAAAAUAGCACUCUGUUCAUUAUUAAUAUCUGUUUAAUGUUGGAAAGGGUCUUAGAGAUCAUUUAGUCUUAACUUUUCUAAUUAACAGAUAAGGAAACAGGUUUGGAGAAGGAAAAGGAUUGUGCCCAAAGGAUCUAGGAAGCAUUUUACAUGAGCUGAGAUUUAAGCUGAGGUUUUCUGAUUCCCAGACCAGGAUUUCCGGAGCUACAGCAUGGUUAGGACUAAGUAGGUAAAUGGAAAAGGCCUCUUAGCCACAGUGUGGUAGCUUUCUUACUCCUUUAUCCUCAAGGUGAAUAAGCCCUUCUGUCCUGGAGGAAGUGACCCUUACCCUCAUGCUGAUAAAAUUCCAGGUGCCUGAAAUAUUGAAAUACAUAUUGUAUUUAUUGAUGAUGAAAGCCAGCGCCUACUCAAUGUAAUUGACACAUGGUCAAAAUGUUCUGCUUCCACAAGAUCUAAUCAUGUACCUCUGGUAGAACACACAUAAUGCCUUCUUCUAUAAAUAGGCAUCAGUGACCUGGACACACCCAUACACUUUAUCCCGGAGCUCCAAAUAUAGACAGGUUAAUAGGGAAGAGGGCAAUGGCUUUGGAGAGUGGGUGGAAGGCUGAGAUAAUAAUGAGAGUUCAGAAGCUAGCUAACUUUCUCAUUGAGCCAGUUAAAUUUUUAUCAUGUCCACACCCUAGAAAUCACUAAACACCACAAAACAAGACUAGAUGUGGAUUGCCUAGACUUAAGAAAGCAAAGGAGAAAAUGAUAAUGUAGAUUAUAAUGUAAAUAAUGUAAAAUGUAAAUUAUAAUAAUGAUGUAGAUCACAGAUCACGUCAUGAUACAAUCACAGGUGCCACAGGUGCAUGCUUUAGAAAAUGGAAUCCUGGAAAAUUUUAUCCUUGAGGACUUGCUUUUGGAGAUCUUGAUGUCAUGAGAGACGAGGUCAGAUGUUACAUAGAUAGAGAUGAAUGCAAUUAAAUUCAGCGGAUGUUGCCAGGUAUUUGAGAUCACAAGACAAAAUGAAAACAAUCCUCUGCGAUCAUACUAGGUUUAGUCCAAGGUUUGGGCUUUGAAUCCUAGCUCUGCUACCCAGCUGUAUGAGUGUGAACUUGGACAAGAUGGUCUCUGGGUCUCUCGUUCCUCAUCUGUAAAACAAGAUGGUAGCACUGGAUGACCUUGAUGGUCCCUUCCACACCUAACUCUGCGAUCCAAAGCUUUUUCUUGUUGCUGUUUGGUUGCUAAAAUAUGACCCUAUUUGGGGUUUUUUUGGGCAGAGAUACUAG